ensembl:lncRNA
CCGCUGUGGAACCGCCUAUUACGGAGCAAAGGGAUUAACGACAGUCUGUAUGUGUUGGCGUGUGCGUCUGCAUUUUAGAUGGAAGGGGAGGGAGGGGGGUGUUAAGCCGAGACCAGAGACCCCGCAGGGCUGGCGUCUGACUGGUACAGACUCUAACACACAGACAUGCACACACACACACAAGGUGAAAGCCUAAUACCAGCCCUACUUGUUAUCUCUUCUCAGGGUUGGUCAACAGCAGGCGGCCAUGUUUUCGGGCUCCACAUGUUCAGAAGUGGAAUGCUGCGUGCUGGAGUCGUGGCAUUGUGCCGGCUGAGCCACUGUCAUCAUGUCUGUGUGGGUGUUGACAUUAGGAAAUGAAGCUCCGUGACUUGGCAUUAAGUACUGAGCACAAACAGAAGGAAAGAAAAGGAGAUAACCCGAACCUGAGAAAACACAUUUGAGUCAUGCAGACUCCUCGUGUGUCAGCUGAGAGGAGGAGGUGUUGAUCAUAGCUGAACGGGAGGAUAACAUCUAUUUUAUCACCGAGCCCUUUGGAAUGUUUUGAGAUGCUCAAUUAGCAGCCAUGUCUCACACCAGGAGUCAUAGCGCGCUCUGAGGCACUUUGAUCACCACCUGAACCCUCUGAACUUGUUGCAUGCGCAGUGUACAAAGUCACCACAUGUGACUCACUGUCUGCAGGAGGGAGCCGUUUGUGCAAAUGCCAAAGUCCACUUAAUAUUAAUACAACGGACUUGGAGCGGGCUGCAUUCUGAAGUCAGUGUUGGCGUCCAUCCUGUGGUGACGUACAGCGCAUGAGACCUUUGACUUCCCUUUGGACUAGGAUUAAAGGUAGCCCAUUAAUAGAGGGGGGAAGGGUCUGCAGAGCCGGC